GGGGCUGUAGCUCAGUGGUAAAUCAUUACAUUUGAAUGUUGAAGGUCAUGGGUUCAAUCCCUGCCAUCCCCA
rnacentral:tRNA from 1 species